rnacentral:rRNA from 1 species
GUCGAGCGGUAGCACAAGAGAGCUUGCUCUCUGGGUGACGAGCGGCGGACGGGUGAGUAAUGUCUGGGAAACUGCCUGAUGGCGGGGGAUAACUAGUGGAAACGGUAGCUAAUACCGCAUAACGUCGCAAGACCAAAGUGGGGGACCUUCGGGCCUCACGCCAUCAGAUGUGCCCAGGUGGGAUUAGCUGGUAGGUGGGGUAACGGCUCACCUAGGCGACGAUCCCUAGCUGGUCUGAGAGGAUGACCAGCCACACUGGAACUGAGACACGGUCCAGACUCCUACGGGAGGCAGCAGUGGGGAAUAUUGCACAAUGG